GACGAACGCUGGCGGCGUGCUUAACACAUGCAAGUCGAACGGUAAGGCCCUUCGGGGUACACGAGUGGCGAACGGGUGAGUAACACGUGGGUGAUCUGCCCUGCACUUCGGGAUAAGCCUGGGAAACUGGGUCUAAUACCGGAUAGGACCACUGCCUGCAUGGGUGGUGGUGGAAAGCUUUUGCGGUGUGGGAUGGGCCCGCGGCCUAUCAGCUUGUUGGUGGGGUGGUGGCCUACCAAGGCGACGACGGGUAGCCGGCCUGAGAGGGUGACCGGCCACACUGGGACUGAGAUACGGCCCAGACUCCUACGGGAGGCAGCAGUGGGGAAUAUUGCACAAUGGGCGCAAGCCUGAUGCAGCGACGCCGCGUGAGGGAUGACGGCCUUCGGGUUGUAAACCUCUUUCAGCACCGACGAAGCGCAAGUGACGGUAGGUGCAGAAGAAGGACAGGCCAACUACGUGCCAGCAGCCGCCGUAA
rnacentral:rRNA from 1 species